AUGCAGACCAAAGUCCUCUUCGUUUUGCUCCUGGCGUGCACCGCCGCCGUAUCUGCCGACCAGAAGGUCCCUCUGCAGAAGAGAGCUGAUGGUGUAAUUUCCAACUUAUUGGAUUUCACGGGAUCUCUGACCAAAAACAUCGUCGACAAAGCGGUUUCAGGAGGUCACACGAGUAUAAACGCCAUCUCGGGGAUCAUCAACUACAGUCUGGACUCGGCGAAAAGCCUUACCAACACCCUGCUCCGCCGUGACCUAGGCAUGACCAUGACCAUGCCGCGCUACAACAUGCCCAACCCGAACUACCCGGCCUACGACACCUUGGGCGCCAUGCUCGCCAAAGCCCAGACCGACCUGAACAACUCUUGGGAUGCCGCCAACGCGCUGACCAGGGACAUGCGCCCCAACCUCUCCGACCGCGGACUGGCAGUCCUGAACAUGUACAUGAGAGAACUCCGCGCCUCUCGUAAUUCAUACAACAACGCCCUCGGCAACGCGGCCGACCUCUACGCCAGCCUGUCCGCCAACCCCGACCUCAACGACCAGGACUUAGUGAACCUCCUCCAGGACCAGUACGGUUUAGAGAUGAUCGACUACGCCCAGCAGGCCCGCCGUCUCGGUAACGUCAUCAAAAACAACGGAUUCGACUUGUAGACUACCACCCAGGAGCAACUCAGCUCAGCGCUCAGCACAGCCAGGUUUAACUCUAGCGGAUCAAUGCUCUGUGAAUUAAGUGAAAUAUAAUGCCCCUACUUACCUUACUCUAUUAGUUUGAUUAUUUCCAUCGCAUAGAGACAUCAAAAAUGUCGUCGCAUUUUUUGCUAGAGGGAUCUUCGUCGAAAUGAAUUAAA
rnacentral:lncRNA from 1 species